UUGAACGCUGGCGGCAUGCUUUACACAUGCAAGUCGAACGGUAACAGGUUAAGCUGACGAGUGGCGAACGGGUGAGUAAUGCAUCGGAACGUGCCCGAUCGUGGGGGAUAACGCAGCGAAAGCUGCGCUAAUACCGCAUAUUCUGUGAGCAGGAAAGCAGGGGAUCGCAAGACCUUGCGCUUUAGGAGCGGCCGAUGUCGGAUUAGCUAGUUGGUGGGGUAAAGGCUCACCAAGGCGACGAUCCGUAGCGGGUCUGAGAGGAUGAUCAGCCACACUGGGACUGAGACACGGCCCAGACUCCUACGGGAGGCAGCAGUGGGGAAUUUUGGACAAUGGGCGCAAGCCUGAUCCAGCCAUGCCGCGUGAGUGAAGAAGGCCUUCGGGUUGUAAAGCUCUUUCAGACGGAAAGAAAUCGGGCGGGUGAAUAGCCUGCCUGGAUGACGGUACUGUCAGAAGAAGCACCGGCUAACUACGU
rnacentral:rRNA from 1 species